CCGCUGUGGCGCCCGGCGAGAGUGAGGCGCGCGGGGUCGAUCCGGGGCGCACAUGUUAGGUUAGGACUUCCAGGUUAGGACUCGCCAAGUCUUUGUACGCAUCUCCGGUGGUUCCGAAGCUCCGGAAAGCUUUUUAAACAUGGAAACUAAAACAAAUACACAUAAGAGAUCGGAUCAAGAUGGCGGAGGAAUAGGACAUGGACCUCACCUUCUCCCACAAAUACAUCAAAAAUACAUCUACAUGUGGAACAAUUCUCACAGAACAUCUACUGAAUAUGGGCAGAAGACCUCAGACUUCCAAAAAGGAAGAAAAUCUCCACAUAAGUGGGUAGGGCAAAAGAAAAAAGAGACAGGAAUUGGGACAGGACCUGUGCCCCUUGGAUGGAGCUGUGAAAGAAUAAAGGUUUCUGCACACUGGGAAGUGCCCUCAAUGGAGGGGAGAUUAGCUGGGACAGAGGGGGUGGGUCGGGCCUGGGUGCUGAGGCCCAGGCUUCAGAGACCAGACCCAGGGGAGAAGACUGGCGUUGGCUGCAUGGAGACAUCCUGAGGGGGCAAGGGUGUGGUACGCCACAACCAAGGGAGAAUGGGGGGAGGCCUGGGCCCACCAGAAAGGCAGGGCACCACCAUUGGGUGGUGUGAAAGGAGAGGGGUGGGCCUGCCAUAGGAACUUCUUUUUUCACAUGCUCUCUCAAGUGGCAGGGCACCGCCUACAUGAGCUCAGGGGACGGGCACAAGCCACAGCUGCCAUCUUGGACUCCAGAGGUGGGCCCAGACCACCUUGGCUGCUACUGCCAAGGGUCCUGAGACCCAACGCCAACUGCUGCCCUCACCUCCUGAGGAGUGCACUCAACCUGCCGCCACUACUGAGGGACCUGCAACUGGGAGCCAACCACUACCCCCUCCUUCCUGGGAGCAUUCACGGGCAGCAUAACUGCACACCCCCUAUCAAGGGGAUAAUGGCCAGCACACAUGGAGGAAAGAGAUAGCAAGCAUCCAAACCAAAAAUAACCUUCACACCAAAAAAUAUUAAGCCCACACAAGCUACGAAGGGAUGCUCCCAUAUAUAAAUAGCCCUCCAAGACAACAGUAGAUAAUUGUUUCUCCUAAACUCACAGACUAAGAGAAAUAUAAGCAAAAUGAAGAAGCAGAGGAACCACUCCCAGUUAAAAGACCAAGAGAGGACUUCCCUGGUGGCACAGUGGAUAAGAAUCCACCUGCCAAUGCAGGGGGCAUGGGUUCAAGCCCUGGUCCAGGAAGAUCCCACAUGCCACAAAGCAACUAGGCCCAUGCACCACAACUACUGAGCCCACGUGCCACAACUACUGAAGCCCAUGCACCUACAGCCUGUACUCCGCAACAAGAGAAGCCACCGCAAUGAGAAGCCCAUGCAUCGCAAUGAAGAAUAACCCCUGUUCGCCACAACUAGAGAAAGCCCACACAGCAACAAAGACCCAACACAGCCAAAAAUAAAUUUAAAAAAUUAAAAAUUAAAAAAAAAAAGACCAAGAGAACUCCCCUGAAGGAACAAUGAAACAAACCUCUUCAGUCUAAUAGACACAAAGUUCAAAAAGGAGGUAAUAAAAAUACUGAAGGAAUUUAGAAAGGCUACUGACAGAAAUGCAUAUUACUGUAAAAAGAAACUAGAAACUAUAAGGAGGAGCCGAAAUUAGAAAAUUUAUUUGCUGAGAUGAACCUGAACUAAAGGCAAUGAAUAGCAGAAUGAAUAAUGCAGAAGAAAGAAUAAGUAAUCUGGAAGAUAGAAAAAUGGAAAUUACCCAAUCGAAACAGCAGACAGAAAGCCAAUUAAAAAAAAAAGAAAGCAAUAUAAGAGACCUAUGAGAUGGUAUAAAAUGUCCCAAUCUAUGCAUAAUAGGGAUUCCAGAAGGAGAAGAAAGAGAAAAGGGGAUUGAAAAUGUAUUUGAAGAAAUUAUGGCUGAAAACUUCCCAAACCUAAAGAAGGAAACAGAUAUCCACAUAUAGGAAGCAUACAGGGUCCCCAAAAAUAUGAAUCCAAACAGAUCUACACCAAGGCAUAUUAUAAUAAAAAUGGCAAAAGUUAAAGAGAGGAUUCUAAAGGCAGCAAGAGAAAAACAAAGAGUUAAUUACAACGGUACCUCUAUAAAGUUAUCAGCUGAUUUCUCUACAGAAACACUGCAGGCCGGAGGGAGUGGCAACAUAUAUUGUCUUGAAAGGGAAAGAUCUGCAACCUAGAAUACUCUAGCCAGCAAGAUUAUCAUUUAGAAAAGGAAAAAUAAUAAUUUCUCUGACAAGCAAAAACUAAAAGAAUACAGCAAUAGUAAACCUAUCCUAAAAGAAAUAUUGAAAGAUAUCCUCUAAAUAGAAAAGAACCAAGAAGAUAUAUGAAGGAGGAAAUAAUAAUUGGAAAUUAAAUCACUUAAAUUAGCCAGUAUACAGAUCAAAAUGAGAAAAAAGAAAAAAAAACCUAUAUGUGAAAGCAAUUAUAAAUAAAAGGAAUAGCAAAAGGAUAAACAUGAAGAUGUAAAAAAGGACAUCAAAAUAAUAAAAUGUGGGGAAAGAGAGUAAGAAAAUGCAGAUUCUUUCUUCUUUUUUUUUUUAGAAUGUGUUUGAGUGUAUAUGACUAUAAGUCCAGCAGAUAUAGGAAGGGGUUAACAUACUUGAAAAACAGGGCAACCACAAAUCAAAAACAUACAAUAGAUUCAAAAAAACCAAAAAGAAGAGAACACAAGCAUAAAAGGAAAUCAUCAAAGCAGAAAAAGAGCAAAGAAGAAACAAAGAAUCAACUGGAAAACAAGGUUUAAUAUGGCAAUAAAUACAUAUGUAUCAAUAAUUACCUUAAAUGUCAAUGGACUGAAUGCUCCAAUCAAAAGACAUAGAGUGGCAGAGUGAAUAAAAAAAACAAGAGCCUACAAUAUGCUGCCUAUAAGAGACCCACCUUAGGGCAAAGGACACAUAUAUAUUGAAAGUGAGGGGAUGGAAAAAGAUGUUUCAUGCAAAUGGAAAUGAAAGAAAGCAGGAGUUGCAAUACUUAUAUCAGACAAAAUAAACUUUAAAGCAAAGGCUAUAAAGAAAAAGAAGGACACUACAUAAUGAUAAAAGGAUCAAUACAAGAAGAGGAUUUUUACACUCAUCAACUCACAUCAAUGGACAGAUCUUCCAGACAGAAAACCAAUAAGGCAACAGAGAUCAUAAAUGAUACAAUAGAACAGUUAGACUUCAUUGAUAUUUUCAGGACAUUACAUCCAAAAAAAAUGAGAAUACACAUUCAUUUUAAGUGCACAUGGAACAUUCUCUAGGAUUGACCACAUACUAGGGUAUAAAACUAACCUCAACAAGUUUCAGAAUAUAGAAAUUCUUUCAAACAUCUUCUCUGACCACAACAGCGUGAAACUAGAAAUCAACCACAGGAAAAGAAAUGAGAAAAGAAUGAUUACAUGAAGACUAAACAACAUGCUACUAAAAAACCAAAGGGUCAACAAGGAAAUCAAAAAAGAAAUUUAAAAAUACCUUGAGACAAAUACCAAUGAAAACACAACCAUACAAAAUCUAUGGGAUGCAGCAAAAGCAGUUCUUAGAGGGAAGUUCAUAGUGAUACAGGCCUUCCUCAAAAAACAAGAAAAAUCUCAAACAACCUAACGUACCAACUAAAAGAAUUAGAAAAAGAAAAACAAAAUAAACUUGGAGUCAGCAGAAGGAAGGAAAUAAUAAAGAUCAGGGAGGAAAUAAAUAAAAUAGAGGUAAAAAAAAAACAGAAAAAAAAUCAAUAAAACCAAGAGCUGUUUCUUUGAAAGGGUAAACAAAAUUGACAAACCUCUGGGCAGGCUCAUCAAUAAGAAAAGAGAGAGAACCCAAAUACACAAAAUAAGAAAUGAAAAAGGAGAAAUCUCAAUUAAUACAUCAGAAAUAAAAA